AUUGAACGCUGGCGGCAGGCCUAACACAUGCAAGUCGAGCGAGCGGCGGACGGGUGAGUAAUGUAUGGGGACUGCCCGAUGGAGGGGGAUAACUACUGGAAACGGUAGCUAAUACCGCAUACUAUCGGAUAACCCAUAUGGGAUUAGCUAGUAGGUGGGGUAAAGGCUCACCUAGGCGGCGAUCUCUAGCUGGUCUGAGAGGAUGAUCAGCCACAUGGGGACUGAUACACGUCCCAGAGUCAUACGGAGGCAGCAGUGGGGAAUAUUGCACAAUGGGCGCAAGCCUGAUGCAGCCAUGCCGCGUGUAUGAAGAAGGCCUUAGGGUUGUAAAGUACGUUCAGCGGGGAGGCGUUACCCACAGAAGAAGCACCGGCUAACUCCGUGCCAGCAGCCGCGGUAAUUC
rnacentral:rRNA from 1 species